AUGCCUACGGGAGGCAGCAGUGGGGAAUAUUGGGCAAUGGGCGCAAGCCUGACCCAGCAACGCCGCGUGAAGGAAGAAGGCUUUCGGGUUGUAAACUUCUUUUGACAGGGAAGAGCAGAAGACGGUACCUGUCGAAUAAGCCACGGCUAACUACGUGCCAGCAGCCGCGGUAAUACAUAGGGAGCAAGCGUUAUCCGGAUUUAUUGGGUGUAAAGGGUGCGUAGACGGGAAAUUAAGUUAGUUGUGAAAUCCCUCGGCUUAACUGAGGAACUGCAACUAAAACUGAUUUUCUUGAGUACUGGAGG
rnacentral:rRNA from 1 species